UCUUCAUCCUCAUCAUCUUUUACCUUCAAACUCUCAAUCCCUCUCUUCCCUCUUCUCUCAUGUCCCACUCCCCUCAACUACAGCGGCGGCACAACCAAGCCCAGCCACGAGUUCCACCACUAACAGCAAUCACUUCUCCUCCUCCCUUUAUUGUUGGAGGCGACGUCAUCAAGGAACCAUUCUAGCUGUUAGCCGCGAAUCGAUCGCGGCUCUUUGAAGCGUCUUGUUGCUUGUCUACAGAUCGGAACCAGUCGGGAAUAAUGGAUUAGCGGAGGUGAUUAGAGUUUCCAAGGAUGUUAAUUGAGCUGAGUACUAAGGAAUUAUAAAUUUGUAUCAGGAAUUUUGGAUAAAUGUAAAUUUGUUUUGGCUGUGCUUGUUAUAUCGGACUUGUAGAGAAUUGUUUGAUUAUCUUGUGUAAUAGUUAGAUGAUGGCUUUGGGAUUUAGCUGAGUUAGUCACGUUGAAGAGCUUGUGACCCCUUUGCUUGAGUUUUGGAAGUGUGAUUUCAGUUUCCUUGGGAAACGAACCUAGUGAUGACCCUGUUUACCCAGUCAACGGUAAGUCGGGUUGUUACACAACAAUUGAAAGUACUCUUUGUCAUCGGCGUUUGCGUGUCGUACUCCUUCGUUGGUGUCAUCUCCUACCUCUGUGUACUUCAAAGUACUCCAGAAUGGAUGAAUGUCAUCCACAUACAAAGCACCUUGUGAACCGAUCGACAUAUAUAAAUAAGAAGCACACGGCAAUCCAUGGGUGUGUUGAAGUACACAACCGCAUUUGUUAAGUACAUAAUUACCCAAAUCAAACAUACGGUUAUGCUCAAGCCGCAUCUGCUCCAAGGCAAAAAAAUAUACUUGGCGAUAUAAAGUUCUAAAGAAAUGAUGUCGCAACGACCUUGAAACAGAAUUCAUGGAUUCCUGUAGCGCUUGUCGGACCUUAGCUUGCUGGUUUGUUAUCUGUGCGUGUGCCCUUUUAAACAGGGUAUCAAAUGAGCUAUUACUGCUGCCAAGAUAAUACUUGAAAGACGAGUGUUGGCUUUCAACUCUGCUGGUAGUCUGGUUACCCAUGUGUAAACAGUCAUUCGUCCACGCACGUAUAAAUUUCUCUCUAAGUGGAAUCCAUGUUCCAGCCAAAUAUCGAACGACCUUUUUGUUCCUAACCGACCAGGUAGUCACGAUCGAUUGCCAUCUCUGUUCAAAUUCGUCGAUUAUAGAACUUUCAAUCAAGGGGUUCCAUCUAUUUUUCCUGAAUACUUGGCCUUGUUGAUUUCUUUUCCCGUCACACAACUUGUCCACCAUGUUCUCAACGUCGUUUGCAAUAUGCCAAAUGCAUAAUAAAUGCCGCACAUCUACAUUAAACACAACAUUGAACGUAAUUAAGACAUAUUCAAUAAAGAGAACGACAAUAAUUAAUCAACAAAAC